rnacentral:rRNA from 1 species
GUGCCAGCCGCCGCGGUAACACGUAGGAGGCAAACGUUAUCCGGAUUCACUGGGCGUAAAGCGCGUGUAGGUGGUUUCGUAAGUAGGGCGUGAAAGCUCCCGGCUCAACUGGGAGAGGCCGUACUAAACUGCGGAGCUAGAGGAUGGUAGAGGGAGGUGGAAUUCCAGGUGUAGUGGUGAAAUGCGCAGAUAUCUGGAGGAACACCAGUGGCGAAGGCGGCCUCCUGGACCAUACCUGACACUCAGACGCGAAAGCUAGGGUAGCAAACGGAAUUAGAGACUCCGGUAGUCCUAGCCCUAAACGAUGCAGACUAGGCGUCGGCGGUUUAAUCACCGUCGGUGUCCAAGCUAACGCGAUAAGUCUGCCGCCUGAGGACUACGGCCGCAAGGCUAAAACUCAAAUAAAUUGACGG